GCAGCAGGCGCGCAAAUUACCCACUCCCGGCACGGGGAGGUAGUGACGAAAAAUAACGAUACGGGACUCAUCCGAGGCCCCGUAAUCGGAAUGAGUACACUCUAAACCCUUUAACGAGGAUCAAUUGGAGGGCAAGUCUGGUGCCAGCAGCCGCGGUAAUUCCAGCUCCAAUAGCGUAUAUUAAAGUUGUUGCGGUUAAAAAGCUCGUAGUCGAAUUUGUGUCUCGCGCCGCCGGUUCAUCGUUCGCGGUGUUAACUGGCGUGUCGUAAGACGUCCUGCCGGCGGGCUUAGCUCGAAAGAGCGGCCCAAUUCAAUCCUGCCGCGGUGCUCUUUACUGAGUGUCGAGGUGGGCCGGCACGUUUACUUUGAACAAAUUAGAGUGCUUAAAGCAGGCUAAAAUUUCGCCUGAAUAUUGCGUGCAUGGAAUAAUGAAACAGGACCUCGGUUCUAUUUUGUUGGUUUUCGGAACCCCGAGGUAAUGAUUAACAGGAACGGAUGGGGGCAUUCGUAUUGCGACGUUAGAGGUGAAAUUCUUGGAUCGUCGCAAGACGGACAGAAGCGAAAGCAUUUGCCAAAAACGUUUUCAUUGAUCAAGAACGAAAGUUAGAGGUUCGAAGGCGAUCAGAUACCGCCCUAGUUCUAACCAUAAACUAUGCCAGCUAGCGAUCCGCCGACGUUCCUCCGAUGACUCGGCGGGCAGCUUCCGGGAAACCAAAGCUUUUGGGUUCCGGGGGAAGUAUGGUUGCAAAGCUGAAACUUAAAGGAAUUGACGGAAGGGCACCACCAGGAGUGGAGCCUGCGGCUUAAUUUGACUCAACACGGGAAACCUCAUCAGGCCCGGACACCGGAAGGAUUGACAGAUUGAGAGCUCUUUCUUGAUUCGGUGGGUGGUGGUGCAUGGCCGU
rnacentral:rRNA from 1 species